AUGAGGUGAUGAACUCCUGGAUGAGUGGACAGAGGUGCUGUGCUGAUUGUCAUGUUCUGAUCUG